rnacentral:miRNA from 1 species
AUCCACCCCUUGCCGACCGCUG